rnacentral:misc_RNA from 1 species
AACACUGUUAACCUGCGGUACCUGCGGAGGGAUCAUUGCAGAGUUGCAAAACUCCCUAAACCAUUGUGAACGUUACCUAAACCGUUGCUUCGGCGGGCGGCCCGGGUCCUUCCCGGCGCCCCUCGGCCCUCGCGGGCGCCCGCCGGAGGUAAACCAAACUAUUGCAUUGUAUGGCCUCUCUGAGUCUUCUGUACUGAAUAAGUCAAAACUUUCAACAACGGAUCUCAGAUCGGAAGAGCA